rnacentral:rRNA from 1 species
UACAGAGGGUGCAAGCGUUGUUCGGAUUUAUUGGGCGUAAAGCGCGUGUAGGCGGUUUCUUAAGUCUGAUGUGAAAGCCCGGGGCUCAACUCCGGAAUUGCCUUUAAGACUGCAUCGCUAGAAUUGUGGAGAGGUAAGUGGAAUUCCGAGUGUAGAGGUGAAAUUCGUAGAUAUUCGGAAGAACACCAGUGGCGAAGGCGACUUACUGGACACAUAUUGACGCUGAGGUGCGAAAGCGUGGGGAGCAAACAGG